UACGAAGGGGGCUAGCGUUGCUCGGAAUCACUGGGCGUAAGGCGCACGUAGGCGGAUUGUUAAGUCAGGGGUGAAAUCCUGGAGCUCAACUCCAGAACUGCCUUUGAUACUGGCGAUCUUGAGUCCGGGAGAGGUGAGUGGAACUCCGAGUGUAGAGGUGAAAUUCGUAGAUAUUCGGAAGAACACCAGUGGCGAAGGCGGCUCACUGGCCCGGUACUGACGCUGAGGCACGAAAGCGUGGGGAGCGAACAGG
rnacentral:rRNA from 1 species